GGGCUGCAGUAUAUUGACUGUACAAAGGUAGCAUAAUCAUUAGUCAUUUAAUUGGUGACUUGUAUGAAGGAUUGGAUGAGAUAUAAUCUGUCUCUUAAUUAUAAAAUAGAAUUUAAUUUUUUAAUUAAAAAGUUAAAAUAUGUUAAAAAGACGAGAAGACCCUAUAGAGUUUUAUAAUUUAAGAUAAUUAAGAUUAUUUAUAAAAUAAAAAUUGAAAUUAUUUUAUUUAUUUUGUUGGGGUGACAGAAAAAUAUAAAAAACUUUUUAUAUAGAAAAACAUUGAUAAAUGAUUAGAUGAUCCAAUAUUAUUGAUUAUAAGAAAAAAUUACCUUAGGGAUAACAGCGUAAUUUUUUUUUUUAGUUCACAUAAAAAAAAGAGUUUGCGACCUCGAUGUUGGAUUAAGAUAAAAUUUAAAUGCAGAAG
rnacentral:rRNA from 1 species